CGGAAUGUAGCUCAGCUUGGUAGAGCACUUGGUUUGGGACCAAGGGGUCAGAGGUUCGAAUCCUCUUAUUCCGA
rnacentral:tRNA from 1 species